CUACGGGAGGCUGCAGUGGGGAAUAUUGCACAAUGGGCGCAAGCCUGAUGCAGCCAUGCCGCGUGUAUGAAGAAGGCCUUCGGGUUGUAAAGUACUUUCAGCGGGGAGGAAGGGAGUAAAGUUAAUACCUUUGCUCAUUGACGUUACCCGCAGAAGAAGCACCGGCUAACUCCGUGCCAGCAGCCGCGGUAAUACGGAGGGUGCAAGCGUUAAUCGGAAUUACUGGGCGUAAAGCGCACGCAGGCGGUUUGUUAAGUCAGAUGUGAAAUCCCCGGGCUCAACCUGGGAACUGCAUCUGAUACUGGCAAGCAUGAGUCUCGUAGAGGGGGGUAGAAUUCCAGGUGGAGCGGUGAAAUGCGUAGAGAUCUGGAGGAAUACCGGUGGCGAAGGCGGCCCCCUGGACGAAGACUGACGCUCAGGUGCGAAAGCGUGGGGAGCAAACAGGAUUAGAUACCCCGUAGUC
rnacentral:rRNA from 1 species